CGUAGGGAAACCGAGUCUUAACCGGGCGUUAAGUUGCAGGGUAUAGACCCGAAACCCGGUGAUCUAGCCAUGGGCAGGUUGAAGGUUGGGUAACACUAACUGGAGGACCGAACCGACUAAUGUUGAAAAAUUAGCGGAUGACCUGUGGCUGGGGGUGAAAGGCCAAUCAAACCGGGAGAUAGCUGGUUCUCCCCGAAAGCUAUUUAGGUAGCGCCUCGUGAAUUCAUCUCCGGGGGUAGAGCACUGUUUCGGCUAGGGGGCCAUCCCGGCUUACCAACCCGAUGCAAACUGCGAAUACCGGAGAAUGUUAUCACGGGAGACACACGGCGGGUGCUAACGUCCGUCGUGAAGAGGGAAACAACCCAGACCGCCAGCUAAGGUCCCAAAGUCAUGGUUAAGUGGGAAACGAUGUGGGAAGGCACAGACAGCCAGGAUGUUGGCUUAGAAGCAGCCAUCAUUUAAAGAAAGCGUAAUAGCUCACUGGUCGAGUCGGCCUGCGCGGAAGAUGUAACGGGGCUAAACCAUGCACCGAAGCUGCGGCAGCGACGUUUAUGCGUUGUUGGGUAGGGGAGCGUUCUGUAAGCCUGCGAAGGUGGCCUGUGAGGGUUGCUGGAGGUAUCAGAAGUGCGAAUGCUGACAUAAGUAACGAUAAAGCGGGUGAAAAGCCCGCUCGCCGGAAGACCAAGGGUUCCUGUCCAACGUUAAUCGGGGCAGGGUGAGUCGACCCCUAAGGCGAGGCCGAAAGGCGUAGUCGAUGGGAAACGGGUUAAUAUUCCCGUACUUGGUGUUACUGCGAAGGGGGGACGGAGAAGGCUAUGUUGGCCGGGCGACGGUUGUCCCGGUUUAAGCGUGUAGGCUGGUUUUCCAGGCAAAUCCGGAAAAUCAAGGCUGAGGCGUGACGACGAGGCACUACGGUGCUGAAGCAACAAAUGCCCUGCUUCCAGGAAAAGCCUCUAAGCAUCAGGUAACAUCAAAUCGUACCCCAAACCGACACAGGUGGUCAGGUAGAGAAUACCAAGGCGCUUGAGAGAACUCGGGUGAAGGAACUAGGCAAAAUGGUGCCGUAACUUCGGGAGAAGGCACGCUGACACGUAGGUGAAGUGAUUUACUCAUGGAGCUGAAGUCAGUCGAAGAUACCAGCUGGCUGCAACUGUUUAUUAAAAACACAGCACUGUGCAAACACGAAAGUGGACGUAUACGGUGUGACGCCUGCCCGGUGCCGGAAGGUUAAUUGAUGGGGUCAGCGCAAGCGAAGCUCCUGAUCGAAGCCCCGGUAAACGGCGGCCGUAACUAUAACGGUCCUAAGGUAGCGAAAUUCCUUGUCGGGUAAGUUCCGACCUGCACGAAUGGCGUAAUGAUGGCCAGGCUGUCUCCACCCGAGACUCAGUGAAAUUGAACUCGCUGUGAAGAUGCAGUGUACCCGCGGCAAGACGGAAAGACCCCGUGAACCUUUACUAUAGCUUGACACUGAACAUUGAGCCUUGAUGUGUAG
rnacentral:rRNA from 1 species